rnacentral:rRNA from 1 species
GUCUACAGCCAUUCUACCCUGAACAAGCUCAAUCCCGUCUGAUCUCGGAAGCUAAGCAGGGUCGGGCCUGGUUAGUACUUAGAUGGGAGACCGCCUAGGAAGACCAGGUGCUGUAGGCA